rnacentral:rRNA from 1 species
AUGCAACAAUGUAGGCAAGGGAAGUUGGCAAAACAGAUCUGUAACUUAGGGAAAACGAUUGGCUCUGAGGACUGGGCUCUGGGGUCCCGGCCCCGAACCCGUUGGCUGUCGGCGGAUUGCUCGAGUUGCUCACGCGGGGAGAGCGGGUCGCCGCGUGCCGGCCGGGGGACGGACCGGGAAUCGCCCCUUCGGGGGCUUUCGCCGAGCAUGAAACAGCCGACUCAGAACUGGUACGGACAAGGGGAAUCCGAUUGUUUAAUUAAAACAAAGCAUUGCGAUGGUCCUCGCGGAUGCUGA